AAGUCGUAACAAGGUUUCCGUAGGUGAACCUGCGGAAGGAUCAUUACCGAAUCGUCAAACACGGGCUGUUGCUGGCCCCCAAACGGGGGCACGUGCACGCUCUGUUUACGCAUCCACUCACACCUGUGCACCCUCGGUAGUUCUAUGGUUCGGGAGACCCCGUCUCCCUUCCGUGGCUCUACGUCUUUACACACACGCCGUAGCGAUGUCUCGUGGAAUGUUUUUUGGCGUUUAACGCAAUACAAUACAACUUUCAGCAACGGAUCUCUUGGCUCUCGCAUCGAUGAAGAACGCAGCGAAAUGCGAUACGUAAUGUGAAUUGCAGAAUUCAGUGAAUCAUCGAAUCUUUGAACGCACCUUGCACCCUUUGGUAUUCCGAAGGGUACGCCCGUUUGAGUGUCAUUGUAAUCUCACCCCCUCGACUUUUUGUUGAUCGGCGUGGACUUGGAUGUUGCCGUGUGACAAACGGCUCGUCUGAAAUGCCUGAGUGUACCCUGCUUUUGCGGCGUAUUCGGUGUGAUAAAUCUUUACCGGAGUUGACUUUUCAAGUCGCGCUUGUGGCUGUGGGCUCUAUGCUUCCAACCGUCUGACAGGACAAUCUUUGACAAUUUGACCUCAAAUCGGGUGGGACUACCCGCUGAACUUAA
rnacentral:rRNA from 1 species